rnacentral:rRNA from 1 species
UUUACACAUGCAAGUCGAACGGCAGCGCGGGGCAACCUGGCGGCGAGUGGCGAACGGGUGAGUAAUACAUCGGAACGUACCCAGAAGUGGGGGAUAACGUAGCGAAAGUUACGCUAAUACCGCAUACGAUCUACGGAUGAAAGUGGGGGACCUUCGGGCCUCAUGCUUUUGGAGCGGCCGAUGUCUGAUUAGCUAGUUGGUGAGGUAAAGGCUCACCAAGGCGACGAUCAGUAGCUGGUCUGAGAGGACGACCAGCCACACUGGGACUGAGACACGGCCCAGACUCCUACGGGAGGCAGCAGUGGGGAAUUUUGGACAAUGGGCGCAAGCCUGAUCCAGCAAUGCCGCGUGAGUGAAGAAGGCCUUCGGGUUGUAAAGCUCUUUUGUCAGGGAAGAAACGGCNGAGGAUAAUACCCUUGGCUAAUGACGGUACCUGAAGAAUAAGCACCGGCUAACUACGUGCCAGCAGCCCGCGGUAAUACGUAGGGUGCAAGCGUUAAUCGGAAUUACUGGGCGUAAAGCGUGCGCAGGCGGUUUUGUAAGUCUGACGUGAAAUCCCCGGGCUCAACCUGGGAAUUGCGUUGGAGACUGCAA